rnacentral:rRNA from 1 species
UUCCAUGCGAGNCCUUGUAGUAAUACAAGGCAGACGGCUCAGUAACACGUAGUCAAUCUAACCUAUGGACGGGGAUAACCUCGGGAAACUGAGAAUAAUACCCGAUAGAUCAUUAUGCCUGGAAUGGUUUAUGGUCGAAAUGAUUUAUCGCCGUAGGGUGGGACUGCGUUCUAUCAGCUUGUUGGUGAGGUAAUGGCCCACCAAGGCUNUNACAGAUACGGGCUCUGAGAGGAGAAGCCCGGAGAUGGGUACUGAGACACGGACCCAGGCCCUAUGGGGCGCAGCAGGCGAGAAAACUUUGCAAUGUGCGAAAGCACGACAAGGUUAAUCCGAGUGUUUUCUGCUAAAGAAAUCUUUUGUCAGUCCUAAAAACACUGAUGAAUAAGGGGUGGGCAAGUUCUGGUGUCAGCCGCCGCGGUAAAACCAGCACCUCAAGUGGUCAGGAGGAUUAUUGGGCCUAAAGCAUCCGUAGCCGGCUCU